UACGUAGGGGGCAAGCGUUGUCCGGAAUUAUUGGGCGUAAAGAGCUCGUAGGCGGUGUGUCGCGUCGGCCGUGAAAACCUGCAGCUUAACUGUGGGCGUGCGGUCGAUACGGGCAUCACUGGAGUUCGGCAGGGGAGACUGGAAUUCCUGGUGUAGCGGUGAAAUGCGCAGAUAUCAGGAGGAACACCGGUGGCGAAGGCGGCUCUCUGGGCCUUCCCUGACGCUGAGGAGCGAAAGCGUGGGUAGCGAACAGG
rnacentral:rRNA from 1 species